UCCCUGGUGGCUCAGAUGGUAACGCAUCUGCCUGCAGUGCAGGAGACCCGGGUUUGAUUCCUGGGUUGGGAA
rnacentral:tRNA from 1 species